GACGAACGCUGGCGGCGUGCCUAAUACAUGCAAGUAGAACGCAGUUGCGAACGGGUGAGUAACGCGUAGGUAACUGCCUCAUAGCGGGGGAUAACUAUUGGAAACGAUAGCUAAUACCGCAUACUGUGAGAUGGACCUGCGUUGUAUUAGCUAGUUGGUGAGGGAAAGGCUCACCAAGGCGACGAUACAUAGCCGACCUGAGAGGGUGGUUGGCCCAACUGGGAAUGGGAAACGGGCCAGGAUCCCUCGGGAGGGAGCCGGAGGGAAACUUCGGGAAAGGAACGAAGGCUGGCCGGGGAAAGGCGCGUGGGGUAAGAAAGUUUUCGGGUCGUAAAGCUCUGGUGUUAGAGAAGCGGUAACUAACCAGAAAGGGACGGCUAACUACGUGCCAGCAGCCGCGGUAAUAC
rnacentral:rRNA from 1 species